rnacentral:rRNA from 1 species
GACGAACGCUGGCGGCGUGCUUAACACAUGCAAGUCGAACGGAAAGGCCCUGCUUUUGUGGGGUGCUCGAGUGGCGAACGGGUGAGUAACACGUGAGUAACCUGCCCUUGACUUUGGGAUAACUUCAGGCAACUGGGGCUAAUACCGGAUAGGAGCUCCUGCUGCAUGGUGGGGGUUGGAAAGUUUCGGCGGUUGGGGAUGGACUCGCGGCUUAUCAGCUUGUUGGUGGGGUAGUGGCUUACCAAGGCUUUGACGGGUAGCCGGCCUGAGAGGGUGACCGGCCACAUUGGGACUGAGAUACGGCCCAGACUCCUACGGGAGGCAGCAGUGGGGAAUAUUGCACUAUGGGCGGAAGCCUGAUGCAGCAACGCCGCGUGCGGGAAGACGGCCUGGGGGUUGUAAACCGCUUUCGCCUGUGACGAAGCGUGAGUGACGGUAAUGGGUAAAGAAGCACCGGCUAACUACGUG